rnacentral:lncRNA from 1 species
UUCCAAGGAAAUGAUCCAAAGGGCGAAGAAGGGGGAGAACUUGCAGAAAGAUGUUAACAGCAGGGCUAUUCACAGUGAUCGUGAUGACCAAAACCUGGGAAUGGACCCAGUUGUCCAACAACUGAGUAACACAAACAAGCGCCGUCACAUUGACAGCAAGAACCCUGGCAGAUGAUGUAAGGAGGACUCAUAUACAUGUACAUGGAGUGAAACAAUGAAUUAAGGAAUGGAUGGGUGAAAACAGCAAAGCGUGAAUGGUCCAGCCAUCACCGACAAGACAUGUAGCAACUUUUCCCAUCUCACUUCAUGCUGCCAAGCAACCCAGGCUGGCAUUGUUGUAGUGAGUUGCUUCUGUUCCACACAAGCCAGGAUUUAAUAACAGAAUAAAGGAAUGAACUCGCAAUACAAAGGUGUCAUUAUCUUUGUAAACUCCUCUACUAUAAAGGGUACAGGGUUUAAUGGUUUAUGAAAUAGAGUUUCAUCCUAAGUUGCAUUCAUGGUUCUGGUAAUAACUCCCAGGGUGAAUGAGAAAAUUGCUGAACCCCUCUGUGAGUCAGUUGCCUCAUACACAAAAUAGAAUUAAUGAAGCUUGGUUGUCAUUAAGGCUUCUUAAGAUCUGCAGAUGAAAGAU